AAAGAUAACAAGCUUGUUGAACCUGAAGCAAUUGAAAAACAUGCUCAAAUCAAAGAAUAAUUCAAUCAGAUCCAUCUCUACCUAGCAUAAAGAUUAUAGAAAAAUAUUGUGGACCUCAAACUCGUAGCCAUGUAUUUGGCUUUGGGGGUGGAGUAAAGGCGAAAGACUUGAAAAGUGGAACUUCUUCAAAUGCUGAAUUACUGUCCGCGCUACGUUCAACUCGAGAAGAAAACAAAUCUUUGAAUGAGGAAAACAAAUCCUUGCAGGAGCGCUUGUCUACCUUAGAAGAUGACAUGAAAGAAAUGAAGAAAAUGAAAGAGUUCUUCGCUGCUCAACAAUCACAUGUCCCGCUUACGACAUCGCCCGUUUCAACUGAAUGAACACUGUUUUGUCUGCUGACCAACCUUGUUGAUGUUGCUCUAUAACACCUGGUGAAUUUAGACUGCUUUUGGGGUUUUAAAGAUUGAAGCUACAAGUCAAGAUGCAAGUUUAGAAGAUGCACAAGCUCAUUUAUUAUUUUGUUAGGGCUGUUAUUCAAAACUUGAUAUCCUAAUGUAGCUCAGGAUGUUAGCUAAGCUUUUUUUGUUCAGGUGUUGAGCAAAUAUAGAAAUUAACAUCAUCAUGGGAUGUGAACUUGAUAUAUUAUCUUUUUAUAUCUAGAUUUUUCAAUAACAAUUUGAUAUUUAUUGAUAAAAAUAACUCUUUGUGGCA